AUUGAACGCUGGCGGCAGGCCUAACACAUGCAAGUCGAGCGAGCGGCGGACGGGUGAGUAAUGUAUGGGGACCUGCCCGAUAGAGGGGGAUAACUACGGGAAACGUUGGCUAAUACCGCAUACUAUCGGUUCAACCGAUAUGGGAUUAGCUAGUAGGUGGGGUAAAGGCUCACCUAGGCGACGAUCUCUAGCUGGUCUGAGAGGAUGAUCAGCCACACUGGGACUGAGACACGGCCCAGACUCCUACGGGAGGCAGCAGUGGGGAAUAUUGCACAAUGGGCGCAAGCCUGAUGCAGCCAUGCCGCGUGUAUGAAGAAGGCCUUAGGGUUGUAAAGUACUUUCGGCGGGGAGGCGUUACCCAAAGAAGAAGCACCGGCUAACUCCGUGCCAGCAGCCGCGGUAAUUC
rnacentral:rRNA from 1 species